UUUUUUUAUAUACAACAUGUCAUCGUCUUCAUCAUCUUCCACAAAUCGUCUUCAUCCCUCCAUUCACAAUCGGGCCAGCCUUCCCUCCCUGAUACUUCCGAUCAUUGUGGCCAUUCUCUGCUUCCAAUCAGUCGCUGGUCCCAAUCAUUGCUUCCCCAGUUGUCGUGCAAACACACACACAUAUCAUUGCGUCUAAGGUAUUCUCUCCAGAUCCACCUCUAUUUCUUCCUUUAUUUAUCAAUAUCUUCCGAUCGAAAUCUGUUGUUUCGGGUGUUUCAUUAUUUCGAAUUUUUGAUUUUGAUGUUGAUAUUCUGAUAAAAUCAAGAGAAAUUUGUGUUUUUAUGAUUUCAUCUCAGAAGAAUCAAAGCUAAAUUCUCGAGGUUUAUAUUCUGUGAAUGAUAUUUCUCCUUUCGAUUCUUUGUUAUCUGCAUAAUUCUUCAUCUGGGUUGGCGUGGAAACUCUCAUUAAUUGUGAUCUUAAGUCAAGAAUCCCAACAUAAGGUUUUGUAAAAUGCAAAGUUUCAUCUGGUAUUUUCUCCGAUCUCAUUGAUUUUGAACGCCAAUUCAAUGGAAUUUGAGAGUUGGAAUCAGAAUCUGAAUUGGAAUCAGAAACAGUUUCUCUGAAUUUCUCCUCUAACUUGAUUGGAACCAAACCCCUAAACUUUCCCUUUUUUAUUUCAUCCCCAAAAGUUGAAGAAGAAUCUUGAAGUACUGAUUUCACAGUAGCAGAAUCCAAACUUUUAGAACCAAGAUUUUUUUUUAUUGUUUUGCGUUUACUUAAUUGCUCAAGAACAAAGUUUUUGCCAUCAAUAACAACCAUGGAUUCCCUUAUAAAAUUCUGAUUUAGCUUCUUCCUAUCAAAUUUAGCUUCUUCCUAUCUGAUUUAGCUUCUUCAUAUUGUAUGGACCCUUAAUUUGCAAAGGUUUGAUCAUCUACAUAGCUUCUCUUUUUUAUUUAUUAUUUUGACAGGAAAUGAUUAAUUUGCUUUUCAUUCGAAUUUUUUUCCUGAUUUAACACUUCAUUUAUGUGGACAGUGCAUGAUCUUGACAAUGUCGAAUUCUGAAAAGAUAUCAAGUAUGUUUAUGUAGAUGAUUCAAUGGAUGAUAUUGGUGAGAUUCUAAUUCUAUUCGAAUGGAAUCAUGAAUUCCAAUUCUGUUGGAAUGGAAUGACGAAUUCCAAUUCUGUUGGAAUCACAGAAGUUGAUGCUUGAAGAACAGACCACAAAAUUGAAACGGACCACAUUAUUCUUUUAGAAUGUAUUAGUUAUUGUUAGAUUUUAAUGUUUUCUUUCACGUUUUGAUUGUUUUUUAGUUUUAUUCUUUAACAAUAAAUGUAAUUCUUAACAAUUGUUACCCGUAUUCUAUAAGAAAAUAAUAUAUUUUUUGUUUUUAUUCUUCAA
rnacentral:lncRNA from 1 species